CUCUAUAAUGUUCUUGGUAUUAAAAAGAAAAAGCAUAUUUGUCACAGAAAUUUAGUUAACAUCUUAAAACUGAACAUGUAUGUAUGUUGCUUAGAUAAAUGUAAUCACUGUAAACAUCUAUAUGAUCUGGGAUUUUGUUUUUAUUUUGAAAUGGGAGCUUUUUUGUUUACAAGUUCAUUAAAAACUAAAAACUGUUUCUGUAAGGAAAUGAGAUUUUUUUUAAACAACAAAAAAUGCCUUGCUGACUCAAUAUUAAAUAAAAAUCUCCCCAAUUUUUUGAUAGACUAUUUCAAGCCAUUUGUUACAUGGUAUUCCUUUGCAAGUCAAUUUAGGUUUCGUGUUAUAACUUUUCCUCUUUUUUAAAAAAAAUAAAACGAAAAAAGUAAUUCUUUUGUCUGAAGGGGAAAGGCAUUCUUUCAUUUUUUCUUUUUCUUUUUUUUUUUUUUUUAUGACUUGCAGGCACAAUAUCUAGUACUGCAACUGCCAGAACUUGGUAUUGUAGCUGCUGCCCGCUGACUAGCAGCUGGACUGAUUUUGAAUAAAAAUGAAAGCAUUAAAGGGUUUCCCUACAAAACAUUUUUCUUUAAAAUACUUGUGAAGUGGCUAUAAGCAGUUGACUUUCACCCUUGGAGAGCAUCACACUGUGUGAGGUUCAGUGAUUGUUGACCCUCCCCAGCCCCUCCUGCUUCUUUAAGUUAUCGGUGUGCGUGCGCUUCCUCUCAAUCUUCUUUGCACGCUCAUUUCUUUUUCUCUGACCCAUGAGAAAGGAAAACUUACUGAUGAUAAUUUUUAAGUAAUGUAAUUUAUUCAUUUAUAGCAUGUCAGGAUAAAUUAAAAGAACAUUUGUCUGGAAAUGCUGCCGGGAGCCUAUUGUGUAAAUGUUAGGUAUUUUGUAAAAUAACCUUGAAAUUGUAAAUUGACACGUGUUUGGUCAGAUUGUGUCAAGUUUAAUUUGUUUUGUUUUUUCUUUUUUUAUUUGAAAACUACUUUAGCAAUAAUUAAUUCCAUGAUUAUCACAUUCUGCCAUUAAGGGAUAUUAGUACCGUAAUACUGAAGAAAUCUUAUUAAGUCUGAACUUUGGGGGUAGGCAGCUUCUUUGUUUCUUUUCUAUCCACCCUUGUCGGUUGAGGUAUUUGUUUCUUGACUAAUAAACCCUUUGAUACUUUUAGCCAGAAAUCGGUCUCAUAAAGCUAUUUUUGAGUAUAGUUUAUGUAAAAUAAAAAUGUUUAGCUUUGGUAAUAACUUUUCCAAGCUGAACUCCCUCUAGCAAGAUAUUUUUCAGUGCUUUUAUUUACUAUGCACUUAGACUAUGCACUUUUUCUGAAAUAUUUUUGUAACACUUUUUUGUAUUUUUGCCAUUUGAAAAGGUUGUGGUGUAGUUGGUCUGUGAUUAAGUUGCAGAUUUAAAACUGCUGUUAGCUUUGUAAAUCAAAAUAUAGGUGUUUUUUGUCCUGGUAUAUCGUCAUUCCAUCUGCAGCUGGAGCUGGAAUCCCAUUGAUCUUCUAGCUACCAUUCAUUUUCUUCACUGUUCACAAAAGAAGAAUGUGAAAUUCAGUGAAUGCUGUUACUAAUCCUGUUGCGAGAUGAAUCUCAUUUCACCAAAAUUAAAUUAUGUUUUUCCGCUAAAAUGAUGAUACAAGUUGAAGACACAUCACUCUGAAAUGGGAAGACCUCACCACUUAAGGCUCCACAGUGGCUUACUCAGCUGAACUCUAGGCUACUAUUCUUUACUUUGUUCACCCAUUGGGGGGUGCAGUUUUUUUAAAAUGUUGGGAGAUGGCCAUUCUAACUACUGUUGAAUGUCUCUGUUUUGGGAAGGUAUAACAAGAAAUAAAAAAGAAUAUAUAUGAAGGGAGAGACUGGUUAUCUCCUCCCAUAUGGUUGUGCUUAUCCUCUUAUGGCUCACAAAUGGAUAUUUGGAGGUUUGCUUUCACAGUGAUUUCCCAUCAACAACUAUUUUUAUUAAGACUUUUCUUGUUUCUGUUAGUCCUUGCAGUACUCAUAAAUGUUUUAAGCUGAGCAUACUGUACUAGUCAUAAGUUUAAUUUCAUUAUAAUAAAAAUAUCAAACAAAAGGACUUUAGAACCCAAGACAAUGAGCUAGUUUUCCCUGAAGUUUGCUGAACUACUAAGGAAUAUGUUCUUACAACUCUUGACUAGAAUGAGUCAUGGGAAUUCUAAGAAGGGAUGGCCUAGACAUUUUUAGCUCAGUUAAAUUCAGCAGCAUUUAAUGCAGGUGAAUUCCUGGGUCGUUUUCCAGCUAGUCUGAAACAGUUUGGUUCUGACUCAGACCGGUAUAAAGCAUUAUUUUAGGUUUUAUCUGCCAGUUUUUAAGCAGUUAAAACCAUUUAAUCAAGAUGUGAGGACAUCUGUGAAGUAUAGUAAAGAAGUGUUGUCCCAGGUGUGCGCUGUCUUAGUGAGACUUUGUGAUACUAUACUUUAAAUGCAUUACCAUUGCUUACAUUUUUGGGGGGGGUUCCUCCUCAAAACUUUCACGUCUAUUGUAAUAUUCUUAAUGUCAAUCUUUUUUUUUUUUUUUAGCAGUGUAUGUUUGAAACAGCCAAAGAUUGGAAUGAACCAAGUGUAAAUUAAUCUAAGCAGCCCAUGCAGUUUGUGUUGAAUCAUCAAACAGUAUAUUGUUGAAGUGAAAUUAUUUGUUUUCUGAAAUGACUUGUUAGACCAGUUUUGAGGACAUACUCAGAGUAAUAAUGAUUCCUGGGAUGGAGAAAUACGAGAUGAACCUGGAACAUUCUAUUAUGGUGCCACAAAGAAAAUCUCAAAAAAAAAAAAAAA